rnacentral:rRNA from 1 species
AUUGAACGCUGGCGGCAUGCCUAACACAUGCAAGUCGAGCGGAGCGGCGGACGGGUGAGUAAUGCCUAGGAAUCUGCCUGGUCGCGGGGGAUAACGUCCGGAAACGGGCGCUAAUACCGCAUACUAUCAGAUGAGCCUAGGUCGGAUUAGCUAGAUGGGGGGGCAAAGGCCUACCCAGGCGACGAUCCGUAACUGGUCUGAGAGGAUGAUCAGUCACACUGGAAUUGAGACAGUGUCCAGCCUCCUACGGGAGGCAGCAGUGGUGAAUAUUGGACAAUGGGCGAAAGCCUGAUCCAGCCAUGCCGCGUGUGUGAAGAAGGUCUUCGGAUUGUAAAGCACUUUAAGUUGGGAGGCGUUACCUACAGAAUAAGCACCGGCUAACUACGUGCCAGCAGCCGCGGUAAUAC